AGUGAACGCUGGCGGUAGGCCUAACACAUGCAAGUCGAGCGGCAGCACAGUAAGAGCUUGCUCUUACGGGUGGCGAGUGGCGGACGGGUGAGGAAUACUUCGGAAUCUACUUUUUCGUGGGGGAUAACGUAGGGAAACUUACGCUAAUACCGCAUACGACCUACGGGUGAAAGCAGGGGAUCUUCGGACCUUGCGCGAUUGAAUGAGCCGAUGUCGGAUUAGCUAGUUGGCGGGGUAAAGGCCCACCAAGGCGACGAUCCGUAGCUGGUCUGAGAGGAUGAUCAGCCACACUGGAACUGAGACACGGUCCAGACUCCUACGGGAGGCAGCAGUGGGGAAUAUUGGACAAUGGGCGCAAGCCUGAUCCAGCCAUACCGCGUGGGUGAAGAAGGCCUUCGGGUUGUAAAGCCCUUUUGUUGGGAAAGAAAAGCAGCAGGUUAAUACCCCGCUGUUCUGACGGUACCCAAAGAAUAAGCACCGGCUAACUUCGUG
rnacentral:rRNA from 1 species